rnacentral:rRNA from 1 species
AGUGAACGCUGGCGGUAGGCCUAACACAUGCAAGUCGAACGGCAGCACAGUAAGAGCUUGCUCUUACGGGUGGCGAGUGUCGGACGGGUGAGGAAUACAUCGGAAUCUACUUUUUCGUGGGGGAUAACGUAGGGAAACUUACGCUAAUACCGCAUACGACCUACGGGUGAAAGCAGGGGAUCUUCGGACCUUGCGCGAUUGAAUGAGCCGAUUUCGGAUUAGCUAGUUGGCGGGGUAAAGGCCCACCAAGGCGACGAUCCGUAGCUGGUCUGAGAGGAUGAUCAGCCAAACUGGAACUGAGACACGGUCCAGACUCCUACGGGAGGCAGCAGUGGGGAAUAUUGGACAAUGGGCGCAAGCAUGAUCCAGCAAUACCGCGUGGGUGAAGAAGGACUUCGGGUUGUAAAGCCCUUUUGUUGGGAAAGAAAAGAAGCAGGUUAAUACCCCGCUGUUCUGACGGUACCCAAAGAAUAAGCACCGGCUAACUUCGUG